rnacentral:lncRNA from 1 species
AGGGGAGCUGCUUCAGUCAGACGUCACUCGCCAGCUACAAGGGCAGCAGGAGCAGCAGCAUUAUUUCAGUCGCUUUGUUGCAGGGUAGGCAAUGAAAAGGCACAUCCUCAGUAUCAGCAGAGUGAAAAUCCUGUCCACAGAAGUAAUCUUCAAGCCACUCAGUAGGUCGAAGGGUAGCCAGUCGCAUCUCAUUUGAGGCGUUUUUCAGAGAGACCCACUUCAACACCAGCACAAGGAGGGGAAGAACAACAGUGAAACUUCAUCUGCAGCUGCAAUUAAGUCUGUCCAUACUUUCUCUGCACAUCUUUUCUGGAAGAGACUGAGGAUUUUGUGAAGAAAAUGAGUGGUUUCAGAAGAGGUGAGGGCAGGAGUCUCAUCAAGGCAGUAGUCUUACCCUUCCCACGUGGAGCUUGCCUUGCUGCAGCUCUGCCUUGAGGACCCUACUACCCAGCACAGUUGCCAGUCAGGGGGAGGAAACCCAUUCCAACCGGAACUGUGAGGGGAGGAUACCUUGACAAGGAAAUGCUAUGCUUGAAUCGGAAGAUCUCACUGCAUAUCUGCAGCUCUGCCUGAAUAUCGAUGCUCCCCAUUCAUCCCCAGAACCCUCUGGCUUUCCUGCCUUGCAAGCUGUGAUUUGAUGUCAGAAAUCAGCAUUCUUCGAAUGUUUUGACAGCCUCGUGACUUUAGAGUAUAAUUCAAUUAGCCGUAAAUACAUUUAUCUGUCAUAUUCAGAGAAAGCCCCCCUCUCCAGAUUUUGCUAUGAUUUGUG